rnacentral:rRNA from 1 species
GAUGAACGCUAGCUACAGGCUUAACACAUGCAAGUCGAGGGGCAGCAUGGUCUUAGCUUGCUAAGGCCGAUGGCGACCGGCGCACGGGUGAGUAACACGUAUCCAACCUGCCGUCUACUCUUGGACAGCCUUCUGAAAGGAAGAUUAAUACAAGAUGGCAUCAUGAGUCCGCAUGUUCACAUGAUUAAAGGUAUUCCGGUAGACGAUGGGGAUGCGUUCCAUUAGAUAGUAGGCGGGGUAACGGCCCACCUAGUCUUCGAUGGAUAGGGGUUCUGAGAGGAAGGUCACCCACAUUGGAACUGAGACACGGUCCAAACUCCUACGGGAGGCAGCAGUGAGGAAUAUUGGUCAAUGGGCGCAGGCCUGAACCAGCCAAGUAGCGUGAAGGAUGACUGCCCUAUGGGUUGUAAACUUCUUUUAUAAAGGAAUAAAGUCGGGUAUGUAUACCCGUUUGCAUGUACUUUAUGAAUAAGGAUCGGCUAACUCCGUG